rnacentral:misc_RNA from 1 species
CAGAGUUAUCCAACUCCCAACCCAUGUGAACUUAUCUCUUUGUUGCCUCGGCGCAAGCUACCCGGGACCUCGCGCCCCGGGCGGCCCGCCGGCGGACAAACCAAAACUCUUGUUAUCUUAGUUGAUUAUCUGAGUGUCUUAUUUAAUAAGUCA